rnacentral:rRNA from 1 species
UGCGUAGGUGGUCGGGUAAGUCUGAUGUGAAAUCUCGGAGCUCAACUCCGAAACUGCAUUGGAUACUAUUCGGCUGGAGGGUUGGAGGGGGGACUGGAAUUCUCGGUGUAGCAGUGAAAUGCGUAGAUAUCGAGAGGAACACCAGUGGCGAAGGCGAGUCCCUGGACAACUCCUGACACUAAGGCACGAAAGCUAGGGAGCAAACA